rnacentral:rRNA from 1 species
AUUGAACGCUGGCGGCAUGCCUUACACACGCAAGUCGAACGGUAACGCGGGGCAACCUGGCGACGAGUGGCGAACGGGUGAGUAAUGUAUCGGAACGUGCCCAAUAGUGGGGGAUAGCCCGGCGAAAGCCGGAUUAAUACCGCAUGAGACCUGAGGGUGAAAGCGGGGGAUCGCAAGACCUCGCGCUGUUGGAGCGGCCGAUAUCAGAUUAGGUAGUUGGUGGGGUAAAGGCCUACCAAGCCUGCGAUCUGUAGCUGGUCGGAGAGGAUGACCAGCCACACUGGGACUGAGACACGGCCCAGACUCCUACGGGAGGCAGCAGUGGGGAAUUUUGGACAAUGGGCGCAAGCCUGAUCCAGCCAUGCCGCGUGCGGGAAGAAGGCCUUCGGGUUGUAAACCGCUUUUGUCAGGGAAGAAAUCUUCUGGGUUAAUACCUCGGGAGGAUGACGGUACCUGAAGAAUAAGCACCGGCUAACUACGUGCCAGCCGCCGCCGUAA